rnacentral:rRNA from 1 species
UACAGAGGUCUCAAGCGUUGUUCGGAUUCAUUGGGCGUAAAGGGUGCGUAGGCGGCGCGGUAAGUCGGGUGUGAAAUGCCGGGGCUCAACCCCGGGACUGCGUCCGAUACUUCCGAGCUGGAGGUAGGUAGGGGAGACCGGAAUUCCUGGUGUAGCGGUGAAAUGCGCAGAUAUCAGGAGGAACACCGGUGGCGAAGGCGGAUCUCUGGGCCUUACCUGACGCUGAGGCGCGAAAGCUAGGGGAGCGAACAGG